CAGCCAGAGAGAGAUGGAGAGUGAGAUCUGGAGCCUUCAGUAAAUCCUGUAGCCAGUAUUAGGAAGGGCCUGACUUAAUAGACUUCCCAUCUGCUGGGUGUCUCGUCCAUCGCCACAUUGAAAAUGGUUGACCAGCCAGGGAGACAAAGGGCAGGGAGAUUUGGAGUCUUCAGUAAAUCCUGCAGUAAGGUACUCAGGAAGGUCCUGUCUCAACAAGCUUCACAAUUGCUGGGUGUUUCAUCCAUCAUCUCAUUGAACACAGUUGGUCAGCCAGAGGAGAGUGAGAUCUGGAGUCUUCAAUAAAUCCUGC